CUGGAGUUCACAGCCCCAGCCAAACCAUUAAGGCAGGAAUUACAAAAGGCAGAAAACAUCUAGGUUCUUCAGUGUCAUUUUAUCAGUGCCCCUUCCUGCAACACCUGGGUUCUCCAAGAAGUUUGUGCCAAGUGGAAUAAAAAGAUGAGUUUCUUUGAGUGUCAGUCAUGCUGAAAUCCACACAUACACAGGGUCUUCCAAAGAUGCCGGAAAUGUAGAUCACGAAAAAGUUAUGCCUGGAUCUCAAACAGGCUUGGCUCUAAUUCCAUUUUCCCAUAAACUGGUGCAGUAGCCUUGUAUCGCACCUCCUGGAAGUGAAGCAGGCAGUCAGACGCUCAAUGCCACCAUGCCAUGGCACAACCUUGACAGUGGACUUGGAAUGGAGACUAUUUUCUACCAUAGUGCAUCCUCGGUGUGCUGAAGCAGCCUUCUGGUGUCCCCUGGGCUGCAGAGGGAGAUAGGACCCAUAGGUGUUCAUUCUGGCUGUGUGGCAGACUUGCUGUGUGUCCUUGGGAAAGUCAGUGCGUCUCUCUGGGUCCCUUCUGGCUCAGGGCGAUGUUAAAGGAGGUAAGUUUGUGACCCUGUGGGCUCUAAUUUCAGCUGGGAGGGGUCCUGCUUGUCCCCAGUUCAGCACUGUAGCUGGGGGCCCAGCAUACAGUAGGCACAACAUAAAUACUUGCAGGAAGGGCGGAAGAAGUGAUUAACUGGAGAACCCACCAAGCUAUCCCAAUUAGAUGUAGCAUCCUUGGGGAGAAAAUAGCCUAAGAUCACAGCAGUAGCUCAGGGCAUUGCUUCAGGCUAGGGUCCUGUGCUCUCGGGCUGGCCAAGGGGUCACGGUGCAACCUCCUGUGCUGACUGCCAAACAUGGUACCUGUGGCCCUACACAGCGCAUGGUCAG